GUCAUGGCCGCCGUGCGCCGCCGCCUCGCCGCCUCCGCGCGCGCUGAUGCAUUCUGUCGACAGCUUCGCGAAAGAUUGAACAAGCCGAUUGAAAAUAUUCGACCGAGUCACUUUAGCAGAAGUUCCCAGCUACCGGUGGCGACGAGACGCGCGCGGUCCACCCCGCCCGCGGCGCCGCCG